UGCAGUCGAACGGCAGCACAGGAGAGCUUGCUCUCUGGGUGGCGAGUGGCGGACGGGUGAGGAAUGCAUCGGAAUCUACUCUUUCGUGGGGGAUAACGUAGGGAAACUUACGCUAAUACCGCAUACGACCUACGGGUGAAAGCCGGGGACCUUCGGGCCUGGCGCGAAUGAAUGAGCCGAUGCCCGAUUAGCUAGUUGGCGGGGUAAGAGCCCACCAAGGCGACGAUCGGUAGCUGGUCUGAGAGGAUGAUCAGCCACACUGGAACUGAGACACGGUCCAGACUCCUACGGGAGGCAGCAGUGGGGAAUAUUGGACAAUGGGCGCAAGCCUGAUCCAGCCAUACCGCGUGGGUGAAAAAGGCCUUCGGGUUGUAAAGCCCUUUUGUUGGGAAAGAAAAGCAGCCGGUUAAUACCCGGUUGUUCUGACGGUACCCAAAGAAUAAGCACCGGCUAACUUCGUGCCAGCAGCCGCGGUAAUACGAAGGGUGCAAGCGUUACUCGGAAUUACUGGGCGUAAAGCGUGCGUAGGUGGUUGUUUAAGUCUGUCGUGAAAGCCCUGGGCUCAACCUGGGAAUUGCGAUGGAAACUGGGCGACUAGAGUGUGGCAGAGGAUAGUGGAAUUCCUGGUGUAGCAGUGAAAUGCGUAGAGAUCAGGAGGAACAUCCGUGGCAAAGGCGACUGUCUGGGCCAACACUGACACUGAGGCACG
rnacentral:rRNA from 1 species